UGGGGAAUAUUGCACAAUGGGCGCAAGCCUGAUGCAGCGACGCCGCGUGAGGGAUGACGGCCUUCGGGUUGUAAACCUCUUUCAGUAUGGAACAAGGAUCCUUCUUUUGGGGGGUUUGAGGGUACGUGCAGAAGAAGCGCCGGCUAACUACGUGCCAGCAGCCGCGGUAAUACGUAGGGCGCGAGCGUUGUCCGGAUUUAUUGGGCGUAAAGAGCUCGUAGGCGGUUUGUCGCGUCUGCCGUGAAAUUUCCUGGCUUAACUGGGAGCGUGCGGUGGGUACGGGCAGACUGGAGUGCGGUAGGGGAGACUGGAAUUCCUGGUGUAGCGGUGGAAUGCGCAGAUAUCAGGAGGAACACCAGUGGCGAAGGCGGGUCUCUGGGCCGUUACUGACGCUGAGGAGCGAAAGCAUGGGGAGCGAACAGG
rnacentral:rRNA from 1 species